rnacentral:rRNA from 1 species
GCGCUGACCGCGUUUUCGAACCGGGCAGACGGCCGCAUUUUGCAACGGGAUACAGAAUAGGAAAAGGGGGUGGCGGGUAAGAUGUAGGGUGGGUAGAGAGAGGAUCCCCGUGUGAGUCCUCUCGCUGGUAUGCCGCCACUACAGCCUCUCCUCCGUCCACCGCCGCCUCUGGUCCUUUCAUCAAGUGACAGAGCGUCGAGGUGACCCUGGUUGCAGCACCACAGCUCGCCGCUUCUGCUCGCCCGACACGGCAGAGGCUCCCGCCCGUCUCUUGAGCUGCUGCUCCCGCAGCUCGAACUCGGUCCGCUCGCCUCCGCCGCGAUGCACGCCGCCCGCCACUUGAGCCGCUGCUCUCGUAGCUCGAACUCAGUCCGCUCGCCUCCGCCGCGACGCGCGCCGCCCGCCGCUUGAGCCGCUGCUCCCGUACAUGCGGAGGCCGAACACGUGGUCGUCGACGAAACUUUCCUCCGCGCCCAGUUGCUUCGCGACCGCUCCCACCGGUUAAGUGUCCUAGCGUGCCUCUUCCAACCCCCAGACUUCCAAAUUCUACUACUCGAGCUGCAACGAUAGCAACCACCUCCGUACCACCCGAACCGACAAACGAACACAUCACACAUUCAUAACUAGGGAAGCACAUGAAGAGAAGGAAGCUAAUUUAACAAGUACUCCAGUCGAAUCACAAUGCGAAUCCGACUCUUAGCUAGGGUCGUAAUCAAUAUUUUUCCUUUGAACCGUGAUAACAUUAUUUCAAGAGCCUCUAAGAAGGUCGGUAAAAAUGAUCAAGUCAUACUUCAUAAUGAUUAUUAUAACCAUCUUACGAUCAACGUCUCCUCAAACCACCGACAUAUACCUUUGGGGGUGAUGUUAAAAAGGUAAAAAUAUACGAAAAUCGUUCUUGUUUUAAAUGG